rnacentral:lncRNA from 1 species
GACUGAAAAAACGUUAGUGCUUUUUUUACCCAUUUUCAGUUAGAAAAUUACGCUUUUUUACCCCUUUUUAAUUUUUUUGCGCGCGUUUUGCUUGACCAAUGUUGGCAACACUGAUCCAAUUAUCAACAUAGGUUUUUGUCUUUGCUAAAUGUUAGGAACAAUAUGCAUGUUGCGGAAUAAAAUAGUUCAUAUACAUUGACAUGAAACACAACAAAUAUUAUUGAGAAACAUUGCAUUGUUAUAGAUUCUGCUUAAAAUGUAUUUACAUGUACAAGAUUUAAUAGAAAUUAUAUUGAACAAAAAGAUAAAAGAACCCCAAAACAAAACAACUUCUGGGUAAUUUUGUUAUUUAUUUCAUGGAUUAAUGUGGCAAAUUCUAUGAACUGCCAAAAUUUUGCUAGUUGAAUAUUAAAAUACAUAAUCUUAAGGAAACUCGAAUAGUCUAAGAUACUACAUUCAUAAAUAAAUAAAUUAAUUUGUAGUGAGUGUUAUUAAAAAACAAUUUCACAGCUUUGAAAUUGACUAAAAUCAAACUUCAUACAAUGAAUUAUUUUGUGAAUAAUAAUAUUUCGUAUAAUUGUAAGAAUUGUUUUAUUCAUCCAUUUUAUUUUCGUUAAAAACUCUUGUUAACAAAAGGUGGCAAUAUUUUCUUAUGACUGUUCAUAAUACAGAGGUGUUGUAAUGGCUAUAUGGCUAUGUAAAACUCCUUUUCCGGUUUGCUGCUAACAAGUAAACAUCAAAAAAAACUUGAGUUUCUCUUAUAAAGUGCAAAUUUUCGCCAAGAUAAUUAUAUUUGCAAAAUAUAACAAGUUUUCAUAGAAUAAACCCAUUAUUCCAAGGCAACUGAAAAAUCUUUGAGACAAUUCGUGGUUCUUUAGAACAAUAAUUAAUUUUGCAUCAUAUCCAAGAAAAUCGGUUAUUUUUAUAACCAGAAAUUUCGCAUUCUUUCACGUGGUGGACUCAUAUAUUGAGCCACCACUGUUACUUUUAAUCCCAACCUAUAUUUGCAUAUACAUACAUCUGUCAAGCUUUGCUCCCGUUAACAGAAAGCUGAGAAUUAUACCGAUGUAUGUCGAUAUGUGUAUGUAAAUACAUACCAUAAAUUCCUAAAGAAUUCCUGAGAAGAAGAGGAGAGAAGUAAUAGUAGAAUACCAAAGAUCAUACCACAUUAACUGAGAAAUGAUGAACAGUUGAAAUAUUACUUAAAAACUAGAAAAACCAGAAAUCUAAAAAAAGAAAUAUAUAGUUUAACGAAUUUGAAGAAAAUCCUCAUACAAAAACUUGGAUUCCUACUAAAACACCUAAAAGUUGUUCCUGGAAAGAAUUUUGGGUAUAAAAUCCAAGAGAAUGUUGUGAGAACCCAGUGUGUGUAGAAAGCGGAUUAUGUAACUAUAGUGUUAUUUAAAAAUGUUUUAUUUUAAGAAAAAUGCUAAAAAAAAUAAAUUUUCAAAGUGCAUCAUAAAUUAAACCAUAAAACCCUUAGUUCUAAACAAAUUGCAAAACAAAAAUUUAUAAUAAAAUUGUACUAAGUAAAAUUGAAAAAAAAAACAUAAAUUAAAAUAGUGAAUGUUUAUUAAAACUAAUUCAUUACACUAAUCAUACUAAUUAAAAAUCCCUUAAAACUAAAUAUUGCACUGGAAGUUUAUUUCUUGGUAUAUUAAAUACGUUAAAAUAUUUUACAAAUAAUCUUAAUUUUAAUUUAGCCUUAGUAUCACAGAAUUAUCAACGAUCGCGAAUACCCUUAAUAAUACAAGCGUUUUACGCUUUGUACAUUCCUACAUACAUAAUUUUUUUCCCGUACAAGCAGUUGCAGAGGCCUCUACAAACGCUGUUACAUACCUACAAUGUUAACUUGGUGAGUGAGAAAAAAAAUGCAUUUAAUAUUUUUUUUAUGUAUGUCUGUAUGUACCAGGUAUCAAUACAUAUCAAUACAUGUUAUCAAAGCAACAUUCAAAUUCACCAAAACGCUCAGACUAAUGUUAAAUAUUAAUUAACAUUUUGAUGCGAUAGCUCUCUUUUCAUUUGUUUAUUGCUUUGUUAUCAUUGAAUUUGAUGUUAUGAUGUUAACAUUCAUAUCUUUAGAAGUAUUUAAACAUUAACGAAAACGCAAUUUUCAUUAUUUUUUAUACUAAGUGUCUGUAAGGGUGAUUAUUGUUAGUUUUUUGAUUAGUUCAUAUAUCCAGUCUAAAAAUAAUCUUCCUUAUUUCAAAUGUAA